rnacentral:rRNA from 1 species
UAACGCGUGGGAAUCUGCCUAUCAGUGGGGAAUAACGACGGGAAACUGUCGCUAAUACCGCAUACGCCCUUAGGGGGAAAGAUUUAUCGCUGAUAGAUGAGCCCGCGUACGAUUAGCUAGUUGGUGAGGUAAUGGCUCACCAAGGCUACGAUCGUUAGCGGGUCUGAGAGGAUGAUCAGCCACACUGGGACUGAGACACGGCCCAGACUCCUACGGGAGGCAGCAGUGGGGAAUAUUGGACAAUGGGCGAAAGCCUGAUCCAGCAAUGCCGCGUGAGUGAUGAAGGCCUUAGGGUUGU